rnacentral:rRNA from 1 species
CUACAAAAUGCAAACAGCGGAUACCUUGGUCCCAUGAGACCUAUGAAGGACGUACAUGGCAGCGAAAUGCGUCGGGGAGGAGCCACGAUCCUGUGAUCCGGCGGUGUCCGAAUGGGGAAACCCAUCUCGUUUCAUAGCGAGAUACCCACAUCCCAAGUUUCCAGUUUACUGGGAUAUUAAGGUGUGUGGAGGGAACCUCCCGAACUGAAACAUCUAAGUAGGGAGAGGAAACAAAAUCAAGUAGAGAUUGCCUGAGUAGCGGCGAGCGAAACGGCAAGAGCCCAAACUCCGCCCUUUGCCUUCGGGUGAAGGAUGGAGGGUUGUAGGACUGACGACAUGGCAUUAGCAAUGGAUAGCAGAACUCUUUGGAAUGGGAGACCAUAGAAAGUGAAAGUCUUGUAUGCGAAAUCUAUUACUAGCCUAGUCAGCACCUGAGUACCACGGUCACAAUCUGUGGGAAUCUGGGGGGACCAUCCUCCAAGGCUAAAUAUCUCUGGGAACCGAUAGUGAACUAGUACCGUGAGGGAAAGGUGAAAAGAAGUGCGGGACGCACAGUGAAAUAGAACAUGAAACUGUUUGCAGACAAACCGAUAGAGCCCUUAUUUAUAAGGGUGAUAUCGUGCCUAUUGAAGAAUGAACCUGCGAGUUGUCAUUUUCUGCGAGUUUAACCCCGACUAAUCGGGGGAAGGCGAAGGGAAACCGAGUGCGACAAGCGCGAAUUAGCAGAACGUGGCAGACCCGAAACCAGGCGAUCUAACCAUGAGCAGGGUGAACUCCGGUGAAAACCGGAGGGAGGCCCGAACCGGUGUAAGUUGCAAUUUGCUCGGAUGACUUGUGGUUAGGGGUAAUAUGCUAAACGAGCCUGGAGAUAGCUGGUUCUCCCCGAAAGGUGUAUAGGCACCGUGGUCGUGAAUAAACAUAUGGGAGGUAGAGCUACUGAAUGAGGCAGCGAGGGAAACUGAGUUGUCUCAACCAAACUCCGAAUUACUAUAUGUAUGCGCGACUAGACAAUCCCUAGGGGCUAAGCUCUAGGGUUAAAAGGGAAACAACCCAGACCAUCAGCUAAGGUCCCCAAAUCAAUACUUAGUGGUAAAGGAAGUGGAAUUCCAAAGACAGCCAGGAUGUUGGCUUAGAAGCAGCCACCAUUCAAAGAAAGCGUAACAGCUCACUGGUCAAGGAAUUCUGCGCCGAAGAUUCAACGGGGCUCAAGUAUUGUACCGAAGCUAUGGAUCCCCGAUUUUAUCGGGGGUGGUAGGGGAGCGUUCUAUAUGCGGUGAAGGUGUGCUGUAAGGCUAUCUGGAGCGUAUAGAAGUGAGAAUGCAGGUAUGAGUAGCGCACUAUGCUGGUGAGAAUCCAGCACACCGAAUACCCAAGGUUUCCCCGGAGACGUUCGUCGGCCGGGGGUUAGUCGGCUCCUAAGGCGAGGCCAGAAGGCGUAGUCGAUGGAUAACGGGUCAAUAUUCCCGUACUUGUUUUAGUUUGUUUGAACUGGGGAGUGACUGAAUUGGAGAUCUCAAGCCCCUUCGUGAAGUGGGGUGUAAGCCAUUAAAUAGUUCCGAGUAGAAAAUCUAUCGGAAUGAUUAAUUGAGUGGCGAUGCAAAGUGUGGCGAAAGCCGUGCGAUUUGUAAAUCUUCAGUUUACGAGAAAAGCUUCGCAGUGAGAACUAAAGCGAGCCGUACCGCAAACCGACACAGGUGGGUUGGUCGAGUAGACUAAGGUGAGCGAGAGAAGGAUGCUUAAGGAACUCGGCAAAUUAGCUGGAUGUAACUUCGGGAGAUAUCCUGCCCCGCACAAUUUAUUGAUGUGGGGUCGCAGCUAACGAUUGCUAGUCGACUGUUUAUCAAAAACACAGGUCCAUGCGAAACCGAAAGGUGAUGUAUAUGGGCUGACGCCUGCCCAGUGCUGGUAAGUUAAAUGGAUGGGUGCUCCGGUGUUUCACCGGAAUGCUUUGAAAUGAAGCUCCAGUAAACGGCAGCAGUAACUAUUAGAAAAUAGUAGUUGAGAAUAGCUCUGCUAAAUGCAGAUAUUCGCUAUUCCGUCUUGCUUUGCAAGAUGAAAAACUUGGCUAUAUGCUGGAAUACCUUGACAGGUCAUCUGUACUGCUGAUUAUAUUAAAUCAGUAGUGAAAAUCAGAUGAAUAGAGGCAAUCAGCAGGAAAGACCAAAAACGUCGAUAGAUAGAGUACCUGAUAACUUGGGUUGGUAUUUUGCCGGAUUUGUUGACGGGGAGGGAAGUUUUAACAUCUCUCUUCGUAAAAAGGCAGAUUACAGGCAACAAUGGCAACCAGUAUUGUCUUUCAAUGUGUCUCAAAGAGAUAAAACUAUUCUUGUUUUAAUGAAGAAACACUUUAAGUGUGGAAUCAUAAAACAAAGAAGAGACGGUUUAUAUUCCUUUGAUAUUACAAAUGAUAUUACAAAUCCGAAAGCAAUUCAGGAGAUAAUAGUUCCUUUCUUUAAUCAAUACAAUUUUUUAUCGAGCAGUAAAAGUAAAAACUUUUUAAUUUUUAAGAAAGCUGUUGAGCUUAUGUAUAACAAACAGCAUUUGAAAGAGGAAGGAUUUUUAAAAUUACUCAAAUUGAGAGAAAUAUUGAACAAAGGUAAAGGAAGAACUAGAAAAUAUUCUAUUAACGAUGUUAUGGAAUCCUCAGAGACUACACGCCAAGUCCCGACUUAGUCGGGAAUGAUAUAGUCCGAUCUUUAUGGAGACAUAAAGUGUUUGGCAGAAAUGCUCAAACCUUUGGGCAAUUGAGUUGCUCAAAAGUAACAAUUAUGAACUGUUCUACGGUAGCGAAGUUCCUUGUCUGGUAAGUUCAGACCCGCACGAAUGGCGUAACGAGCUAGCAACUGUCUUGAGCAUUCACUCGGCGAAAUUGCGGUGGCUGUGAAGACGCGGCCUACACACACCAGGACAAAAAGACCCCGUGGAGCUUUACUGUAGUCUGGCAUUGAUUUGUGCAUUUUAAUUGUCUAGCGUAGGAGGGACCCCGAUUUAAUCGGGGGUCAAUGUAACACCUCUCUUUAGAAUGUGGCAAAUCUUACCUAAGGGCGCUGAAGGCGCGUCCAGGGAACGUGUCAGAUGGGCAGUUUUACUGGGGCAGUACCCUGCAAAAAGGUAAUGCAGGGGCACAAAGGUUGGCUUACUACGGAUGGAAAUCGUAGGGAAAGCGUAAAGGUUUAAGCCAGCUUGACUGCGACACCGACGGGUGAAGCAGGUACGAAAGUAGGUCUUAGUGAUCCUCCGAUCCACCAUGGGUGUGGACGGAGCUUAACGGAUAAAAGCUACCCCGGGGAUAACAGAGUAGUCGCGCCCGAGAGUCCAUAUCGACGGCGCGGUUCGCUACCUCGAUGUCGGCUCAGCACAUCCUGGGGGGGGAGCACCUCCCAAGGGUUGGUCUGUUCGCCCAUUAAAGUGCUACGUGAGCUGGGUUCAGAACGUCGUGAGACAGUUCGGACUCUAUCCGGUGUGUGCGUUCGAUUCUUGAAGGGAGCUGGCCUCAGUACGAGAGGACCAGGCUGGGGGAAUCCCUAGUGUGCCGGUUGUCGCGUCAGCGGCAACGCCGGGUAGCUACAUUCCUAAGGGAUAACCGCUGAAAGCAUCUAAGUGGGAAGCCCACCCUAAGAUGAGGAAUCGUAUUAUGAAGACCCCUGGAAGAACACCAGGUUGAUCGGCAAGCAGUGGAAGCGCGGUAACGUGUUAAGCUUACUUGUACGAAUCGGUCGAAAG